UCAAACCCCUCCCCCAUCGCACCCCUCCUCUCUCCUCCCAAUCUCCUUGCUGCCGCCGCCAGCUCCUCCCCGUCCCGGCCCCUCCCCCUCCUCCUCGACCAUGCCUCGUCGGAGAGAGAGAGGCGUCGCCCCCAGCGACUACGGCUGUUCCCCCCUCCUUCCUCCUCCUUCGCGCCUCGACCACGCCGCGCCGCCACGGCGCGCUGCCGCUGCUAUUUAUUCCCUCCAAAUCACCAUUGCCCACAGCAGCAAGGAAUCAAGAUCCAAUCCCCUCCCCUCCCAUCCACUCCUCCCCCGCGGCAACAGAGAUCCAGCCAGAUCCGCCUAGUUCCAUGGCGACCGCCGGCAACGCCCCCGCUCCCGCAAGCGCGUCGAGGCCACCGUCCUCAAGCACGCGCGCGACGGAAGUGCCUUCACUCGCUGCGAGGUGUGCAACAAGAACAUAGCCAUCGUCCUCAUCGACCUUCACAGCUGCAGCCUCGACUCCAAGAUAGGCCUCAGCCUCGAUGCGUCUCAGCUCCUCACCUCUUCCAACGCAUCUUCCGUUUGGGCGGCCGGGCUGGAGGCUGGAGCAGAUCUGGAGUUUAAUUUUCCAUAGUCAGGUUGUAAUAAUUUUCAACUUAUAGCCGGGUUUCUCUGCUCUCAGUAACUUGUAGUUUUGUGAAUGUUCUCAUGUUGAUUCUAUCUUCCGCCUGGCUCAAACAUUAUAACAGCCUACUCGUUUUUAGAAGGAGUGGUAGUAUUAGUUAGUUUUUCUUGGAGGACAGUAAGAUCAUGCUUUGAUCUUGUAUGCUACUAUGGUUAUUUUGUAGGUAGUAUUUGCCAAAGGUUGGAGGUCAACGGUCGUCACAAGCCUACAAGAGAAUAUAUUGACAGAGAGUGUAAUGGUGUAAAACCACCCAAUAAUUCUGGCGAAGUUGAUCCCUGGACCGCGUGGGCGUACAGACCACGGACCAUCUCGUUGUUACUGAUGGGAACCUGCUUUUUAAUGUGAGCUCCUGCUGGAUCUCUUUUACCUGUGGAGUUAUUUUUAGUUUUUCUACAGAGAUUCUUACAACAAUGAUGUUAGUAAUGCACCGCUAAUGGUUGACCUACUAUGGCAUUUUACAAUUGUUAA